AGUAAUGCUUGGGAAUCUAGCUUAUGGAGGGGGGUAACUACGGGAAACUGUGCUAAUACCGCGUAGAAUCGAGAGAUGAAAGUGUGGGACCUUCGGGCCACAUGCCAUAGGAUGAGCCCAAGUGGGAUUAGGUAGUUGGUGAGGUAAAGGCUCACCAAGCCGACGAUCUCUAGCUGGUCUGAGAGGAUGACCAGCCACACUGGGACUGAGACACGGCCCAG
rnacentral:rRNA from 1 species